GGGGAAAAAUUAAUAAAUUAAUUUUAAUAAAAAAAUUUUUAAAUAAUAUUUAAUGGGGGUUAAAGUAUUUAGAAAGAAAAAAUUAUUUAAUUUAUAGUAAAUUAGUAUUGUAAAAGAAAUUUGAAAUAAAUUAUAAAAAAAAUUAAUUGUAAGUAAUUUUAAUUUAAUGUAUCUUGUGUAUCAGAGUUUAUUAAAAAAAAUUUUUUUAUAAAAAAUUCUCGAAUUUAAAAGAGAUAAUUAAUUAAAAAAGUUAUUGUUGCAUAAAUAUUUUAAAUAAUUAAUUGGAAAUGAAAUGUUAAUCGUUUUUAAAUAUAUCUAGUUUUUUUAGAAAAAAAUUUAAUUUUAAAUUUAUUUUAAAAAUAUUUAAUUAAUUAAAUAUUUUUAAAAUAAAUUUUAUAUUUUAAGGGAUAAGCUUUAAAUUAAAUUAAUAUAAUAAAUUUAAAUAAAAUAUUAUUGAAAAUUUUAUAAUUUAUAUUGUUAAUAAAAUUUAAUUUAUUAAAAAUAAUUUCAUUAAAAAUAAAAUUUAAAAAAAAUUUAUAAAUUUAUAAAAAAAAAAUUAAAAUUAAAAAAAAUUUAAUAUAAUGAUAAAAUUAGUAUAAAAUAUUAUUAAUUAAAAAAAAAUAAAUUAUUAAAUUAAUUAAAAGGAAUUCGGCAAAAGUACAUAUUCACUUGUUUAUCAAAAACAUGUCUUUUUGAAAAUAAUAUAAAGUCUAAUCUGCCCACUGAUUUAUAAUUGAAGGGCUGCAGUAUAUUGACUGUACAAAGGUAGCAUAAUCAUUAGUCAUUUAAUUGAUGACUUGUAUGAAAGAUUGGAUGAAAUAUGAUCUGUCUCUUAAUUAAAUUAUAGAAUUUAAUUUUUUAUUUAAAAAGAUAAAAUAAAUUAAAAAGACGAGAAGACCCUAUAGAGUUUUAUAAUUAAUUUAAUUAAAAUUAUUUAUAAAUUAAAAUAAAUUAAAAUUAAUUUAAUUAUUUUGUUGGGGUGACAGAAAAAUUAAAUGAACUUUUUUUAUAAAAAUACAAUUAUAAUUGAGUAUAUGAUCCAAUUUUAUUGAUUAUAAGAAAAAAUUACCUUAGGGAUAACAGCGUAAUUUUUUUUUUUAGUUCAAAUAAAAAAAAGAGUUUGCGACCUCGAUGUUGGAUUAAGAUAAAAUUUAAAUGCAGAAGUUUAAAGUUUUUGAUCUGUUCGAUCAUUAAAAUCUUACAUGAUCUGAGUUCAGACCGGUGUGAGCCAGGUUGGUUUCUAUCUUUUAAAAACUUAAAUAUUUUAGUACGAAAGGAUUAAAUAUUUAAAUUAAAUUUAAUAUUUUGAAUAUUAUUAAAAAUAAAAUAAAUAAAAAAUAAUAUAUAUAUAUAUAUAUAUAUAUAUACU
rnacentral:rRNA from 1 species